UUUACUCAAAAAUUUUUACUGCAGCAGGGAUUCGAUAUCGAUAAGCAGAUGAUAUUUUCCACAAAUGAAACACAUCUUUUCUUUAUACAUACACACAAUACAUUAGGGUUAGAGCGUCUUUCUGCGGCGCUGGCGCAAGUGAGAGAUCGGAGAAAAAGAGAGGGAUGGGAGAACGUCGGUGGUGGGUGUUUUCUGGCGAGCAAUGGCUUUCCGGCAGAGUUGGGUUUAGACCCAGCUGCUUAAUUUUCAUUAUAGUUGAUGAUUUCGGUGUGUAGACGCCCGGGUUCUUGCCGCUUAGACAGAGAGAGAUCGACAACGUGUGUGGGUGUUUGGCUUAUUUUCUGUUUAGAAGCCUUUUCCGAUGAUCUCCGGUAGCCUUGAUUGAAAGUAAACACGGUAGAAGACACAUGGGGAUGUAUAGAGCAAAGUGGAGGCUGCCACCCCAGUUACACCGAGCAUACGGGCAUACCGCCGCAUACAUUGUGCAUUAAUGUUCAGGUUGGAAACUCCAUCGUGUUACGAAUCCUUUGUUAACUUCGAUGGCAUAAGGAGACAUUACUGUCAUACUGGUGGGAGAGGUACGUUCUUUGAAGUUUUUUAUUAAUUUCUAUAUGUAAUAAAAUAAUGCAUAGGGAUAUAAUUAUAGUCCUUAGUCUUUUAACACUAUUAGUUUUAACUUAAAAAAAAAACAAAUCAUUCAAAAUGCAUUGUUUGUUUAUUACUAUUAAUUCUUUAAUACUUGUUCCAAUAAACAAUCGAAAGAAGAUUCCCUGCAGCUAAGAAAUAUAUAAUACAAUAUACCUAAAUGAAAAAAAUAUAUGGAUAAUUAGCAUAUGCUCGUUCUUGUACAAGGCUCUUGUGACUGUGAAGAGAUUUCUUAUCUUCAUGAUAUUUAUAUAUAUGUUUUUUUCAUUAGUACUAUAUCAAAGCUCUUUUUAGCUACAGCAAAGUCAAAGUGGAGUAAAAGUAGUAAACAAUAGUCAUAGAUAUUGAGGAACUAGGAGUUAAAAUAGGAAAAAAUUUAGUGAUGCAAAAAGAAAAAUUUCAAGUUUUUUUUUUCCUCGGAUAUAUUACUAUGCUUGAUUUUAUGAUUUUUAUUUUCCUUUUAGAUUUUUUUUCAAUUUCUUUAAGGUGUUUCUUUAAGGUGUCGUCACAAUAGAUAGUUAAGUUCAAAUGUUUCUACUGUCUAUUGUGUGCAUGAUUAAUUCUGGAUCAAUCAUUUUAGUUAUUUUAAUAAAAUAAUUAAUGCAUAUUAAAUGCUGAAAAUUUAAUAUGCAUUAUUUAUGUGAAUAUUAUUUUAUAGUUUUUUGAUUUAAUUACAAAAGUGUCACUUUGUAAAGUAAAUUAAAAAAUAAUUUUUGUUUUCAAAUGUUUUGGUAAUAAGAAAUAUUUUCAAUUAGUCCACCACCAAUAACCACCCGUCACUACCAACUACCACCCACCAAUCACUACUAGCACCUAUCACCACGACCAACCUACACCACCUAUCACCACCACCCGCCACCACCACCCCACCCAUCACCCACCAAUACCACCACCAUUGACAACAACCACCCACCAUCACUACCACCGACCACCAUUACCCACCAUCAUUACCAACACAAGCCACCCACCAACCAUCAUCCAUUACCACCACCCGUCUUCACUACCCAUCACCCACUAAAACCACAACCACCACCACCCGCCACCACUAACCACCAAGCACCAUCCAUCACUACUACCCACCACCAUCACUACCACCCCCACCACUAUCACUACCACCAACUACCACCCCCACCACCAACACCCGCCUCUACCACCAACCACUACCACCCACCACUAUUACCAUCACCCACCACCAUCCAUCACCACCACCACCUGCCUCUACCACCCAUCACCACCACUUGUCACCAAAACCAUCACCACUACCACCCACCACCACUACCCAUUACACAUCACUCGCCUCCACCACCCAUCACUACCGCUCGUCACCAUCAUCACCGCCACCCGCCACUACCAUCUCUAUUAUCAACCACUAUUCACCCACAUCAUCACCACCUACCACCACAUAUGAUUUACGUCGAAAAAAUUUGUUUCCGUAUGGUGCUAGGAUAUUAGUUUUUUUUUUAUUUCAUUGCAAUAUAUUUGGAGAUUUAUAACCUCAAUUGUCAUGCGAUUGUAAGGGUGGUGCAAGGAUAGGAGGGGUGAGGCAUGAGGCCAUUCUUUUUAGACAAAAUUACAAUAAUGAUCUUUGUGGUUUGCUAAAAGUCACAAUCAGUCCCUCCUAAUUUUUUUGAUGCAAAUGGUCCUUGUGGUUUGCAAAACUUGCACGUAUGACCCUUUUUACUAAUUCCGUUAGUAUUUAGCCGUUAGGGUAAGAGUAUUUUCGUCUUUUUAGGUAUAAAGGGACUAAAUUUGUGAUAUUUGGUAAACUACAGGGACUAUUUUUGAAAUUUGUUUGAAAAAGUGAAUUAUUUGGAUUAAGGGAGGGCUCGAACGCAAGACCUCCACCUCUUAGGUAGCCAAAGCUUCAACCAGUUGAACUACAUGUACAAUUGGUUUAUACUUUCCAAAUAGUAAUUUAGAUAAUAAUGAAAACGUUAAAACAUAAACAAUAAAUAAAUUACAAAAACAUUUUUUACAUAUUUUUUUUAAAUAAAACAAAAUGUAUUUCAAUUGUAUUAUAAAAAAAAAUUUACAAACAAUUUGAAUGUAUUUUUAUGUAUUUAUUUUACAUAAAAUGUAUAUUUUUUUUUUCUUUAAAAAAUACGACUUCGUAUAAAAAAUACGUUUUCAUAAAUAGUAAUGAUUAACACUACUUAUGACAUAAAAAAAUGUAUAAAUUCUUUUGGAUCGAUAGUUCUAAAACCGGUGUUAAAUAUUAGUAUACAAAAAUGUAUUUUUUAAAUACAUAAAAAAAAUAUAUUCUAUGAAAACGUGUUUUUUAUACGAAAACAUAUUUUUUAAAGAUAUAAAAAAUAUUUUACGAAAAUGUAUUUUAUACGAAACUGUAUUUUUUAAAGACAAAAAAAAAAAAAAUACAUUUUAUGUAAAAUAAAUACAUAAUAAUACAUACAAAUUGUUUGUAAUUUUUUUAUAAGACAAUUAAAAUACAUUUCGUUUUAUUUAAAAAAAAUAUGUAAAAAAUGUUUUUUGUAAUUUUAUUGUUAAUAUUUUAACGUUUUCGUUUUAUAUAAACUAUUAUUUGGAAAAUAUAAACGAAAUAUACAUGCUGCUCAAUUGGUUAAGGAUUUGGUUAUUUAAGGGUUGGAGGUCUCGAGUUCGAGCCCUCCCUUUUCAUUUAGCCAACAAAUUAAUCUUUUCAAACAAAUUUCAAAAAUGCGCCCUGUGGUUUACCAAAUAUUAUCAAUUUAAUCUCUUUAUAUAUGAAAAGACGAAAAUGCCCUUACCUAUUAACAGAGUUAGUAAAAAGGGCCAUCUGUAUAAGUUUUGCAAACCAUAAAGACAAUAUCAAAAAAUAAAAAUAAACAGGGACUGACUUUGUGACUUUUAGCAAACUAUAGGGACCAUUUUGUAAUUUUCUCUUCUUUUUAUAUNUUAAUGAGUUUUGUUGUUGGCUAAAUGCACUGGAUCAAUUAUUUAAAAGAUUUGACAAUAAAUUUGUUAUAAUCACCUUGUAGUUGCUUCCACUAAACUUAUCAAUGCACAUUUAAUUCUAAUGCGAUGGCAUCGUCUUCAUGCAACUUCUACAUUGGACCUACAUGUUUGUUGUUGGCUAAAUGCACCAGAUCAAUUAUUUAAAAGAUUUGACAAUAAAUUUCUUAUAAUCUCCUUAUAGUUUCUUCCACUAAACUUAUCAAUGCACAUUUAAUUCUAAUGUGAUGACAUCGUCUUCAUGCAACUUCCACAUUGGACCUACAUGUUUGUUUAAUUCUAAUACGAUGUCAGCUAUUGUGUGGACGUGUGGACAAUGUUAUUCUAUGAUAAUUACUAAGAGAAUAUGUAGUUUAGUAAUGUGAAUACGUUCAACCUCACAUAAUUAUCGUCAAUUUCAUGCAUUCUCACUAAUUCUUAUUCAUUUUUGCUCUCAUGCAUCGUUUUUCACUCAAUUUCAUUCUUACAGAAUACGACCCAAUAAGCAUUCUGACAAUAUUCCAACAGAAUGAGAAUAAUAAUAAAAAGUCUAUAAUAACGUUAUAGACGAUUUAUUUAGUGACAAUGUGUGAUAAUUACAAUAGUUAUGUAAGAUUGAACAUAUUCACACUAUCAAACAACAUAUUUUAUUUGUCAAUCUCACAGAAUAGCCAUGUCCACAUGUCCGCACAAUAGAUGUCAAUCCAUAUUUGAAUCUAGUUCUCUCUCUCUCUCUCUCUCUCUCUCUUUCUCUCUCUCUCUCUAUAUAUAUAUAUAUAUAUAUAUAUAUAUAUAUAUAUAUAUAUAUAUAUAUAUAUAUAUAUAUAUGGAAAAGAUCAAAUGAGAAUCACUAAAAUUAAAGAACCAUUUCAUUAAGGGUAUUUUUGUGUAUUUAACAUAAACAAUAAGAAAACACACAAAAACUUCAUUUUAAAAUCAGAUAUAUCUUCUCAAAUGAUAAAUCCUUUCAAACUCUUUGUUGAUUUAUCUUCCCUAUCACCACCACCACCUAUUAUCGCCGACACCACCGACACCGACACCGCUGUUUCCGACCGCUUAACCUUCGCCAGAAUGGCGAGUCAGUCAUGUUUUUUUUUGCUUCAGAUCUGGAACCACAACAAAAAAUGACAUCACCGAGGUGUUUCUACUUCGAAUCUACCAUCGACCGCCACACCACCGCUUGUCAUCUCCGACAACAUAAUUCAGAUGACUUUUUUUUGUGUUUCUUGCUCAAAUCUAACCAGAUUUGAAUGAUUCUACUGAUUUUUCUCAUCUUUGAUUGAGUUACCAGUCUAGAUCUUUCGAGAUGUGGUCAGAUCUAGAGCCUCCACUUUCUGAUAUGCCAUCAAUUUCGCCUCCACCUUCAGAUCUAACACUUUUUGUCAUCGGAAUACUAUAUCUACCACCAAAUCUUCCAUACCGAUGUCUAGAUCUACAUGCUCCGGUCCAGAUUUUCGAUUUCUGCCCCACGAUGUCUAAAUUUGUGAGGUACGACAAUAUUGAAAGAGUUUCAACGAGAUCUGUGUCAUGUUCGUCACGUUGCACAUUUGGUUUUGUGUUCUUGUAACAACCUAAAAACCAAGGGUAAAAAUUUCAUUUAUAAUAUAACUAAAACGUAGAUACCAUUUAUUUUAAACAUUCCAAAUCAUCAUUAAGUAAAUCAUUUAUCAGAGUUUAUCCCAAAAUCAUUCAUUGCGAAAAUCAUAGGGGUGUGCACUGCGAUCAAUCCGAGCUCUUCUCUUUCCAAAUCAAUGAUACCUGAAACCAAAACUGUACACUGUAAGCACAAAGCUUAGUGAGUCCCCCAGAGCAUACCCAUACACAAUCCAUAUAAUACAAAACAUAUUAGCUAUAAAAGCUAUCUCUACCGCAUACCACAUAUCAAUUAGCUAUAAGGGUUACCUCUACCACAUAAUACAAAUCAAUUAGCUAUAAAAGCUACCUCUACCACAUAUCACAUAUCAAUUAGCUAUCAAGCUAUCUCUACCAUUAGCCACAAAGGCUAUCUUUACCAUUAGCCGCAAGGGUUAUCUCUACCUUUAGCCACAAAGGCUAUCUCUACUAUUAGCCAGAAGGUUAUCUUUACCGCAUAUCAUGCAUACAUACAUAUCACACACCUCUACAUAGCAAGUAUACCGACUAUCAUAAAAUGGGUAGCCUUGGUGCCUUAGACCCAUUGGUAUGGUGAGAAGUGAUGGGUUUUGGUCAUAAGAACAUCCUAUGUGCUCAUACAAACCCUAAUGCUUAGAUCUAGGUUUCUCUAUUGUACAUGCAAUUUAUCCAAGACUAUAAACCAUAGAUCUAGCAUAUGAUAAUCAAUAUAACAUAUAAUUAGGUUUUAGAUCAUACCUUGAUUGUUAUGUAGCAAUAACAAUCUCAAAUCCUUUUUGUAUUGACUUUAGAAAAUUUAGAGUCACAAAUGUCACUCCUCUAAUGGUUCACAAACACCAAGAGCAAGAGGAUGAAGAUGAAAAGAGAAGGAGGCUGCCCAAAACAUGUGGAAACCCUAGAAGGAAGCUUGUCCACGUUUUUGAGGCAUAAGGGCACCAUAUAUAGUGAGGCUAUUAGGGUUAUCUAACAAGGAAACCCUAAUUUGGAUGCUUAAGCCCUAAGCAACCCAUUCACUCCUUUCCUUAAAGGCCUUGGACGAUUUCUAAUGGGUUUCCCCAUAGAGUUCGUCCACUCCUCAAUAUAAGGCAAUCCAUAGCCCAAAUUGCAAUUGUCUUAUAAUUACAAUUCCUUUAAUUAAUCUCUUUUAGUCACAAAACUAAUUACCAAUUAAUUCUUGAUUAAUAUUAAUUAAACAAUAUGAUUUCUCCUUUAAUAUAUUAUUCUCAUAAUAUAUUAAUAAAUCAUAUUUAAUCCUUUCUCUCCAUAAUUCAUCCUAUCAAGUUGCUUUGGUGAAGGCAACCCAAAAGGACCAUGCACCAUCUGGUCAAGUAUAUACCAAAAUAGUUAUGGAUUUAGACACUAAUCCAACAAGAAGAAUCACCUCUCGACUGCUGAAUUGAUAAGCUGAAAUCAGACAUAUCCCAUACGCUGCUCCUUUUCAACUGCCCAUAAUCAUCUGGUGAUUAACUUGACAUAAACCCAUAAAUACCCUCAGGUCAACCCUGGUCAAAGUCUAUGUCUGUAGUCAAGGUCAACAGUCCAUAUUGACCUUGACUCGUUGGGUUCCUUGCUUAACUCGUCAACUCGCCGAGUCACCCGAGAGACUCGUUGAGUUCCUUGAUGUUUACGGCCAUAAACUUCCUACCGAACACCCUUGACCGUGAACCCUUGGCCGUGAAUGAGAAAACCCUCCCGACUCGCCGAGUCACAAGAGCGACUCGACAAGUUCCCACAUAUUCAGUCAUUUCCAGUGGGAUUUAAGGCCCCAAACUUUAGAUCCAUAUUCUCCUAGUGAUAAUACCAUGUAAAGUUGCCAACUUUGCGUUCAUACUAAGUCUUAUAAUGCCAAAACCACAUCAACAAGCUUCUUAAAAGUCCCUAAUGCAUGAAUAAGAAUUAGGGUGCACCAAGGAGACAACUUUAUGACAUUUGGGACCUAAAAGGUCCAGAUCUGGAACCAUCCUUGUGAUAGAUCCAGAUCCAAACUUGGUUCCAUUUCUUCAAGGAUGGCCACGUCACCUCAUAUCGCAUAUCAGCCUUCAAACUUAGAAAAAACAUAACUCUCGCAUACGAGCUCCGUUUUCGACAUUCUUUUUUUAACGCGUAGGUAAAAUCAAGAUCUACAACUUUCAUUUAGACUCCGUCGGCUAAUUCUCGACCGAUCUCAAAUUUAACAGUAGGAGGCGUUUAGACUGUUAAAUGACUGCAAAGAAUUCGUAACUCCUUCAUACGGACUCCGUUUUUGUCUAUAUUUUUACCGUUGAGUUCCUAUUAAUGAGAUCUUUAACUCUUAUUUAGGUCGCGUAAGCCAAAAACCACUCGAACUAAAAUUCGAGUUUCGGGUCGUGCACUGCUAAGCCGAAUCUUCGAAAAAUCAUAACUUCCUCAUACGGAGUCAGAUUUGGGAGUUCAUUUUAUGGAUGUUCUCGAGUUAACAUAUACUAUAACUUUGGUUUAGAUUGCUAAGGCUAAAAGUCGCUCCAUCAUAAAUUUACUAUUUACGCUUCCCGGUGUCGUGCCAGUUUUGCCGUAAAACUUCGACGGACCAUAACUUCUUCAUUAUAACUCAGAUUUCGGCGUUCUUUAUAUUUACGGAAACCUUGAGACAUAUUCUACAACUUGGUUAAGACUAUUUAUUAUAAAUAAUAUUUUGCCAAAAAGUCGUUUUCGACCUCUAUUAUCUCUAAAUUGACUAGCCCGGAUCUACGGGCGUUACAAUGAAAGUUGUAGAACUAGUAAAAAUAAUCAACUUUCAUAUAAAGACUGUUUUAAUCUGACUUCCUAUGAGGAAGUUAUGAUUUUUCUAAGUUUCAGAUUAGCAGUAGACAGUUAAAAACUCGAAGUAAAGAUCGAGCGAUAUUUAGCCGAAACAACCUAAACGAGAAUUGAAGGUCUUGUCAAUAGUAGUACGACGGUAAAAAGUCUGACGAAAACGGAUGUCGGAUAAAGAAGUUAUGAAUUUUUAACGGAUUUUCCUGUCCCGGUCUGUUAAAAAUAAUAAUAUUAAAAUUAAUGUCAAAAUUAGCCGACGAAGUCUAAACGAAAUUUGUAGAGCAUAAUUUUAGCUACGCGUGCAUAUAAAGAACGUAAAAAACGGAGCUCGUAUGCGAAAGUUAUGGAUUUUAGAAGUUCGGGGCACAAAAAUCGAGAAAAAAAUGCAAAAUCCGAGAAAUUUCGCAUGAAAUUAGUGCCAGCCACAUCAUCCCUCGCAUGCAGCCUCCACAUGUUACCUCCUGAUAGGACCGAGGUUUGUUGUGUCGCCUUUUGAUUGGACCAAUUCCACGGUCCACUAAGCCUCGGACACCUUCGCAUGACCCUUAGACCUUCGUGGAGCCUGCCCAUUGGACCGAAGUUGGGUCCAGUCCAAAGCUGCCAUCUACGAGCCGACUGUUUCGACCUUCGCAUCCGAGCCUCGCCCUUCUGCUGCGUAUCCGAGCUUCGCUGCAACCUGGCCCUUCCCUCUUGCUUCAGAUCCGAGGCUCGCACCUAUAUAAGGGGUGCGAGACCUCCCGGGUAAAUGUUAGAAAAUUGCCACUUUUUACCCCUAAACUUAUAUUUCUUCUACUUCCACUUCCCCCGAAGCCCCGAUAUCAAUUUUAGCACCCGAAACACGCCCCGAAGUGCCCGAAGACCCUAAUAAAUUUAUCUUUUCAGUUUGAAGCCCUACCUUCGCAGAGCCUGGUUUAGAAGAAAGCUCUCGAUUUUUAUAGAAGAAAGCUAUCUAUAGUAACGAAGCGCUGCACAAAUUACUAUUUUAACCCCCGGUUAUUUCAAAGUGAGUUCCAUAUAUAGGAACAAUUGUAUGUUAUGUUUUAUAUGUGCUAUGUGCUUUUUUCCGUAUUAUUAUCUCGUGUUGUUAUUUCAUGCUAUAUUUGUAGCAAAGUUAUACCUUUGACCAUGUGAUCAGUGAAAGGACUUAGAUUCACGGUGGUACUGAUAUGUAGCCUCUGGCCAUGUAGAACAUGUGUUGUAACAGAAUGACUUCUAUUCUAUGGCAUUGACAGAAGGUUAGAUGUGACAUCCCCAAUUUCACGGCCAGAAAAGACCGAUUUGUUUAUGCUUUGUUUUAUAAAAUCAGAGUAAAUCCUUUUGAUUAAAAGAUUUGUGGAAUUUGUUCCCAAAACAAAAUAUGAUAAAAUUUAUCAAAACGUUUCUCAAAGAGAAUGUAUUUUUAUUAAAUAAUAAAACCUCGGGAUGUCAUGUUCGAUACAGACCAAAAACAUAAACAAUAUAAAAUAGACCUUACAACAGUUAUUUGUAACUACUGAUCUAUAAUCCAAAAUCUCUCAUCAAGUCCACCAAUUUAUACUCUUGUGCCAUUACCUGUAAUGCAAAGAAUACUGAGUGGGUCAGGCUUGGGAGCCUGGUGAGCAUAUAGGGUUUUCAUCCCACAGUAAUACAUUUAUUAUAUUCAAUUAUCAAACAAUCAACCCAAAUACUCAUUCCCAUUAUCUCCUUUAUUUCUUAAGGAUUUACCCUAAGAAUCAACUAUCCUCUAUCCAUUUAUUCCUAAGGAUUGACCUAAGGAAUUGACACAAAGUCCACCACUACCAAGGUCCACAAAUUACGACUGGUAAACACUUAGUUCAACAUACUUAACAAACACCUAGUUCUAAUACUCCUAGUGAACAAUUAAUUCAAAACAUCUGGUGAAUACUUAGUUCUAAAACACUUAGUGAGCACACUCAGUUCAACAAUACCAAGUGAACACAUCUAGUUCAAAAAUACUUAAUGAACACAUUGAGUCCAAAAAUACCAAGUGAACACAUAGAGUUCGGAAAUACCUAAUGAACACAUUGAGUUCAAACACCAAGUGAACACAUAGAGUUCAAAAAUACCUAAUGAACACAUUGAGUUCAAACACCAAGUGAACACAUAGAGUUCAAAAAUACCUAAUGAACACAUUGAGUUCAAANNNNNNNNNNNNNNNNNNNNNNNNNNNNNNNNNNNNNNNNNNNNNNNNNNNNNNNNNNNNNNNNNNNNNNNNNNNNNNNNNNNNNNNNNNNNNNNNNNNNNNNNNNNNNNNNNNNNNNNNNNNNNNNNNNNNNNNNNNNNNNNNNNNNNNNNNNNNNNNNNNNNNNNNNNNNNNNNNNNNNNNNNNNNNNNNNNNNNNNNNNNNNNNNNNNNNNNNNNNNNNNNNNNNNNNNNNNNNNNNNNNNNNNNNNNNNNNNNNNNNNNNNNNNNNNNNNNNNNNNNNNNNNNNNNNNNNNNNNNNNNNNNNNNNNNNNNNNNNNNNNNNNNNNNNNNNNNNNNNNNNNNNNNNNNNNNNNNNNNNNNNNNNNNNNNNNNNNNNNNNNNNNNNNNNNNNNNNNNNNNNNNNNNNNNNNNNNNNNNNNNNNNNNNNNNNNNNNNNNNNNNNNNNNNNNNNNNNNNNNNNNNNNNNNNNNNNNNNNNNNNNNNNNNNNNNNNNNNNNNNNNNNNNNNNNNNNNNNNNNNNNNNNNNNNNNNNNNNNNNNNNNNNNNNNNNNNNNNNNNNNNNNNNNNNNNNNNNNNNNNNNNNNNNNNNNNNNNNNNNNNNNNNNNNNNNNNNNNNNNNNNNNNNNNNNNNNNCCACGUCGUGGUCUCUGACAGUUUUGGGGUUUCGCGCCCCGAACUUCAGAUAUUCAUAACUUUCGCAUACGAACUCCGUUUUCGACAUUCUUUAUAUCGACACGAAGGUAAGAUUAUGCUCUACAACUAUCGUUUAGACUCCAUUGGCUAAUUUUGACUUUAUUUUUAAUAUAUUAUAAAUAUAUUACUUAUAUAUUAUCUUUAGUAGACCGGGAUAGGAAAACUCCGUUCGAAAUUCAUAACUCCUUCAUCUGAACUCCGUUUUCGUCCGUCUUUUCGUCGUUGCACUACUAUCGAUGAGAUCUUCAAUUCUCAUUUAGAUCACUAAGGAUAGAUAUCUAUCUACCUUAAAUUCACUAUUUACGUCGCGCUGGGUCAUGCCGGUUCUGUCACGAAACUUCGAUAGGUCAUAACUUCUUCGUUAUAACACGGAUUUUGGCGUUCUUUAUAUGCACGGAAACCUUGUGACAUAUACUACAACUUGGUUAAGAUUAAUCCUUCUAAAUAAUCUUCCAUCAAAAAGUCAUUUUUGAUGCUUAUCGUCUUAAAACUGACUAGCCCUAAUCUAUGGGCGUUACAUUAGAUAGGACUGGUAUGUAGCCUCUGACCAAGUAGAGCAUGAGUCCGUAAGAGAAUGACCUGUAUUCUAUGGUAUUGGAAAAUGGUUAGACAGGGCUAUAAGCCUGAAAUCUACCAAAAUGUUAAUCAGAAAUUGUAUGUCUUCUGUGCCAUUUGGGCCAAAGCUUUAUUGAUGCAUAUCAAGUAUUGAAAUCGUUAUGUCUCAUUGAUCGUAAAUCUUUGAAUCAAAUCUUGAGUUGAUAUUGAAAGUCUGACAUAUGAUGCGCAUAUGCUAUUAUUGUUCUUGUUCCUCUUUGCUUCUGUCAUAUUGGUAUAUAUAUAAGGCAUAAGAUUAUAUUGUAUCUAUUUAUUGAAUUCACUAAGCGUUAUCACUUAUCCCGCUCAAUGUUUAACAAUUGCAGGUGAUGAGUAUCCAAUAUAGUUUUAUACUGCUGAAAGAUUUAGAAUAGUUAAUACUAUUUCUCUGUAUUUUGUAAUCGCUUUAUCAAUAUAAAAUAUUGUUUUAUAAAUAUGCAUGUAGCAUGUUUUGAGGAAGCAACUUAAGAGUAAUGUUGGAAUAAUAUGAAAAUUUGGGUCUUUCAGAAAUAAGAAAGUUGGGGUCUUUCAAGAAUCGUGAAAAAAAUAACAACAAGAUCUAGAUCUAUCAAAAACCGAUCUAGAUCUAGUAAACCACAACACAAGUACCAAAAGAAAGCAAAAACUCAUUGAACAGACCAACAGAUCUAGUAAACUAGAACAAAAAAAGAACUCGUUGAACAAAACCAUAUCGAUCUAGCAAAUCAAGAAUUUGUUGGAAAGCGUGGAGAGCCCCUGAUCCAAUGGGUUGUGUGUUUUCAUGGGUUUUAAGGUAUUUAAAGGCUCUUAUGGUUUGAUCAUUUUCAGUAUCCAACACCCCUAUAUCAUUCCUUGAGUGAAACCUUAGCCUCCUUUGAGUAAAUUGAGCUUAUCCUCUCUCGUUGAACGAUUUUUGGGUGUAUUUUGGUGAUGUUUGAAUAUCAAGAACAUCUAGUUGGUUGCAAGGGAUGUUGUUUCAAGCUUGGAUUCAUAAAGUUCAAACCUUUUUUAGACUCUUGUAAGUAAAAAGCUUUAACAUUUCCUUUCUAGUUGUUAGAUCUUGCUAAUGGUCCUUUUUAUGUAAUUUUGGUCCAUUUUUUGGGUGAUCUUGGAGUUGAGUGGACUCCAACAUCUUUUGAUCAGUUUGGUUAUCUUGGUCCUUUAGGUCAUUUUGGUGUAUUAAAGUUUAGAUCUUGAACUUUGUGGCAUUAUUAUAGAUAAAGUUGGAAACUUUAGCCAUGUAAACAUCAUGUUGAUUUAAAUAUGAAGGUUUGCGACUUGGACUUAAUGGAUUAAGUUGAGAAAAAUAAACUCUUAGUUCCUUUGAGACUGUAAUUCUAGAUCUUGGUUGUUUGGACCAUCCUAAUGGAUAAAUUUGGAAACUUUAUCCAUUAUGAAGCUAUUAGGUACCAUAUAUGAUGUUAUGAGCCUUGGUCUUUAAUUAUUAAGCUCUUAAUGAAGAAAAGGACAUUCUGCCAGAGACCACAAUGUAGCCAAGGAAGGCCCAUAACAUAAUGGUGCUCUACCUCGCGAUUGUUUUGCUGUUUGGCAGCCACGACGUGGUCAACAAUUGGCCAUGACGCGGUGGUCCGUUGAGUUGACUAUGAUUGUUGACUUUUGACCAAUUUGACUUUUGGUCAAACCUUGGUAGAAUUGAGUGUUUAACUAAGAACUAGUCUCGAUUUGGCAUUAAGUAGCUUGUGUUAGUUGUUCUGUUGUUGAGGUUGCUGUUGAGCUUCUAUUGGUUAGCUCUGGUGAGUUUUCUCACUAAACUUUAUACUACAAUAUGUAUCCUUGUGUAUAGGAUGUUGUUAUGCUGUUGUGAUUCGUUAGUCAGGCAAAUAUGGUAUGAUUACCUAUGUUUGUCUGAUAUUGUUGUUUGCACAUGUCGACAUAUUGUGGUUGGUUUGAGGCAGUUCUAUUGUUUGCUGAAGGCCAAGAUACCUGGGCGGUCAAUGUGUAUUGUAGGCCUUGCGAGGUGGUCUAGUCAGACUGAAGGCCCAAGGAGAGCAGUCCAACCUUGUGUUGUAGGAUCAAGAGAACGGUCCAGCUAUAUGUUGUAGGCUCAGGAGAGCGGUCUAGCUAUAUGUUGUAGGCUUAGGAGAGCGGUCCAGGUGUACUGUAGGCCUUGUGAGGCAGUCCAGUCAGAUUGCAGGCUUAUGUAUACAUGCAUUUUAUGUGUAUUAUAUAUGCGGGGUAUUUUGGGAAACUCGUUAAUCUUUGUACUUACAAUUAUGGAUUAAAUGUUUUUUCAGGUACUUUAUCAGUUUAUAGGAAGGUGAAGACGUUACUAUACAUACCCAACAACAAUUUAAUGAUUUGAGAUUUCGUGGCACUUUUCUUUAUAACUCUGAUU
rnacentral:lncRNA from 1 species